UCUCUCUCUCUCUCUCUCUCUCUCUCUCUCUCAUACUGAUCAUCGACGGGGACCGUUUGAUUCCUCCGGUUCUCGGCUGCGAGCCCAAUCCGAUAACGCCGGCGCGUUCUCGCGGUUGAAGCGAACGAGAUGACCUCGGUCGGCGGCGGCGGCGGCGACGGCGGAGACCCCGCCGCGCCGAUCACCAAUGCCGAUUCCGUUCCCGCUAGGACCCUGCCUACCGAUCGCGAAUCCUCCCUCUCUUCGUCCUCUGAAUCAGGUGACGUGAUGAAAGGAGAGACCUUGGACGAGCUUUAUGUGGAAAGCACAAUGCAGUUCGAUGAUACCGUCCCAUUAGACGGUGCAUUUGAGACCCAGAUCCUAGAUACAGGUGGAGAGACCCAAUUGGUUGAUUUCGGGGGUGAAACUCAAGUGAUUGAUUGUGAAGAUGGCAUCGGGAAUGUUGAGACGCAGCUCUUAUUAGAUGGCUGUGAUACUCAAGUCGCUUUUGAUAGUGAUGGUGAAGAUACGGGGGGAACUGAAGUCCUGGGUUCUGAUGAUGAGGUAUCGGAUGGCGGCUUGCACCGGGUAGGUGGUUGUUCUAGGGAUGAGAAGAAGAUGUCCUGCAGUCCUUUUAACAAGGAUAGCGAGACCAAGGAGCAAUCCGCUGCUUUGACUGAUGAACCGUGCAGUUCAGGUUCUGUCAGAAGGGGAUUUACUUCAAUUCGUGCAGCAUCCCUCCGAGCAUCUGGUUUAGCUGCUCGCAGCAUGUUCCUGAAUGGUGCUAGUAGUUCUAGCAUGAGGCAGUCUUCAGAAGAACAGGCUGGUGAAGAUAAUGGAACAUCUUUUGGAGGUGCUUAUAUCAAAUCUGGUGAAGAAUUUGAUCAGGACUGUGAUGCUGAGACUAAAAUUGAAAAUACAGAGGAGAUGGAACAUGGGAAGAAGUGCAAAAUAGGGAGUUGCACUGUUAGAAGACUCUUUGCAGAGGAUGUUGUUGACACCAUGCCUGAUGAGACAGCUGACUCAAAGGAAGUUCCUCUUGGAAAUGACAAACUUGCUGGAUUAAGCUAUGUAGAAUCUCAAGAACCGGGAGAUCUUUCUCAGGCAAAUGCACUUGAUUUUGUUGACAGGUUUCUGAAGGACAAUGUUGAGCAACUUGAUGAAGAGCUUGACUUUGGAAAGACCAUUGGAAGAAAACCAUUAUCAAUCUCGUGUGCAGAAGGGCCACGGAAUUUGGCCAAGAGUGCAAGUAGAAUAACUGUAAGAGCAGAGGUUUUUGACUGGGAUGAUGGACGUGAGGAUGAGGGCGGUGGAGAUAUUUUUUGCAGGAGGAAGGAAGAUUUCUUUGAUGGUGGGAGCAGUAAGGGCAGAUCCCUGACCUUGCCCAGGAAGCACAGAAACAGAUUUCAAGAUGGUCAAGCAGAUAGGGACGAACCAUCGAGUGCUCCCUGCAAAACAACUGGUGUACUUCAUUCUGAUUCAAAUGCAAUUCGGAGAAUGGGUGGAAAAAGUCAAAUGUUGGCCAAAUCGGCUCAAAUGAAUCACAAAAGGGAUCUUGCAAAUCAGUUGGAUGAACAGUCUAAGAUAGAUUCUUCAAGAGACAGCUUGGGGGCAAUUGCUGUUGAUGCUUGUGUGCCAGACAUGCUCAAUGUCGGCUUUGACACUCAACUGGCUGCAGAGGCUAUGGAAGAAUUAUGCCAGGGGGCGGCCCUUCCUAGGGAGGAUAAUUGUGAUAUCAGCAUUUCUACAAGAAAGUUGAGAAGCACAAAGAGAGAUGAUAAUGAACAAAGUAAAAAGCCAUCUAUCUCCCUGCAGAAGCGUUCCAAGGAUAAGAAGAGGUGCCGCAGUUCUGGACAAAAACUCACAACUUGGAUAUGACUAACCCUACUGCCAAUAUGAGCGAAAAGUCGAAUAAAUUGCCUUCCGAGAACUUACAGUAUAGAAACAGGGAAUCUCUUGGAAGAUGCCAAGCUGGUGAGUUUGGUAAACAAAUUGCCACCAGAACAUCGAAUGGAGUUACUUUUGCCAGCAAGCAGCAAUUACUAGGCAAAGGUGGUUUCUUUACAUCCAUUGCUAGGAGAACCAGAUCUUCCUUGGCAGUUAAUCAAGUGCAAAGGACAGAAUGUUUAUCAAGCAACCACACUAAAGCAACAGAUGGUGCAGAGAAUGUUGAGGUACGUAAAAGGAAAAGAAGCACCCAAGAAGGAAGAAGCAGCAAAAAAAGUGAUGAUGACUCAAUGGUCAAGGCUAGAGGAAAUUCACCGGAGCAACUCUUUGCAGUAGAAAGGGGCAAGAGGUCUGUUAGACGGAUGAAAUCUGAUGCUACAAGAAAGUGUGAUCUGGAAGUACAGUUGCCAGCUCAAAAUUUUGAAGCUGGACUAGAGAAUGCCACUAGUGAGACCACUUCUUUCAAGUUGAAUAGGGAACCGUUAGCUAAAGGUUUAAACAUGACUGACACAAUUGGGCAGUCUGAGAGAAAUGGGGAUGUGGGCGCUACAUCAUCCACUGAUAAUUCAGAAGCAAAUGCCAUUUUAGAUCAUACUUCAGGAGAAAAAUGUAAUGGAAAUUCAGCUCAUACUACCCCUAUUAACUGUUCAACGCCCUUCAAUGAUGCUUCGCCGGUUUGUGUGGGGAAUGGUUAUAUGUCUCCAUCGUGCAAGAAGAACCUUUCAAGAUCAUACCUCAGGAAUGAAAUUAAGAGCUUAAGUGCAACAGGACCACAACCUUCUUCAGCAUAUAAGGAUAUGCGGAAGAGGAGAGACAUGAGUGACAUUUGUGUCUUGUACAGCCACCACUUGGAUGAUGAUAUUAUCAAGCAGCAGAAAAAGAUCUUGGCUCGUCUAGGAGCUUCUGCAGUGUCUUCUAUUGCUGAAGCCACACAUUUCAUAACAGAUAAAUUCGUGCGUACAAGAAAUAUGUUAGAAGCAAUUGCUUCUGGAAAGCCGGUAGUUACCCACUUAUGGCUUGAGAGUUGUGGACAAGCAAACUGCUUUCUCGAUGAGAGAAAUUACAUACUAAGAGAUGCUAAGAAGGAGAAGCAAUUCAGCUUCAGUAUGCCUGUUUCAUUGGCACGCGCAUGCCAGCAUCCACUUUUACUGGGUCGAAGAGUUUUGAUCACCACAAAUGCAAAGCCUGGUAAAGACAUAAUAUCAAGUCUAGUCAAAGCAGUUGGUGGCCAACCAGUAGAGAGAAUUGGAAGAUCUGCUUUGAGAGAUGAUAAAUUAACAGAUGAUUUGUUGAUUUUAUCCUGUGAGGAUGACUAUGACACGUGCCUUCCUUUCCUUGAGAAAGGAGUAACCAUAUAUAGUUCAGAGCUUCUGCUGAACGGGAUAGUUACUCAAAAGCUGGAAUAUGAAAGGCACCGUCUCUUUGCAGAUCAUGUGAAAAGAACUCGCUCGACGAUUUGGCUAAAAAAAGAUGGUAACAAUUUUGUUCCUGUGACCAAACAUAAAUAGAAGGGGUAAGCCUCUUCUGUCCUAACGCCUGCAUGUGUUGGCUUGGCUUGAUACCGUAGCUAUGCAGUGUUUUGUACAUAGUAUGCUGUACCGAGUUCACAUGUUGUUCAAAGGAAAUUAUUUAUUUGUCUAGAGUACUUUAUUAUGCAAGGGGGGUUUAGGACUACCAUUCAAUUGAUUCUUUCUUGUUUGGCAAUGAAAUGGAUUCUAAAGCUGCUAUUAAAAUGAAGUGAAAUGAAGAAGAAUGAUCCAUUUUUACUGGAAUUAGAAUGUUAUAUUUUCUGCA